rnacentral:tRNA from 1 species
AAGGGUACAGCUUGGUGGUAGGGUGAGUGCUUAGCAUGCAUGAGGUCCUGGGUUCAAUCCCCAGUACCUCUG